UACGGAGGGGGCUAGCGUUAUUCGGAAUUAUUGGGCGUAAAGGGCGUGUAGGCGGCUUCGUGUGUCCCAUGUGAAAGCCCCGGGCUCAACCUGGGAAUUGCAUUUGAGACUGUGUAGCUAGGGUGCGGAAGAGGGAAGCGGAAUUUCCGGUGUAGCGGUGAAAUGCGUAGAUAUCGGAAGGAACACCAGUGGCGAAAGCGGCUUCCUGGUCCAGCACCGACGUCAGGCACGAAAGCGUGGGGAGCAAACAGG
rnacentral:rRNA from 1 species